rnacentral:lncRNA from 1 species
CCAUUAGUACCUUUAUGCAAAGCUAGGAAAAAGAAAGAAAGAAAAGAAGGAAGGAAGGAAGGAAGGAAGGAAGAGAAAGAAAGAAAGAAAGAAAGAAAGAAAGAAAGAAAGAAAGAAAGAAAGAAAGAAAGAAAGAAAGAAAGAAAGAAAGAAAGAGAAAGAAAGAGAAAGAAAAGAGGGGAAGGAAGGAAGGAAGGAAGGAAGGAAGGAAGGAAGGAAGGAAGGAAGGAAGGAAGGGAGAAAGAAAGAAAAGAGGGAAAGAAAGAAAGAAAGAAAGAAAGGAAGGAAGAGAAAGAAAGAAAGAAAGAAAGAAAGAAAGAAAGAAAGAAAGAAAGAAAGAAAGAAAGAAAGAAAGAAAGAAAGAAAGAAAGAAAGAAAGAAAGAAAGAAAGAAAGAAAGAAAGAAAAGAGGGGAAGGAAGGAAGGAAGGAAGGAAGGAAGGAAGAAAGAAAGAAAGAAAGAAAGAAAGAAAGAAAGAAAGAAAGAAAGAAAGAAAGAAAGAAAGAAAGAAAGAAAGAAAGAAAGAAAGAAAGAAAGAAAGAAAGAAAGAAAGAAAGAAAGAAAGAAAGAGGCAAUUCAUAAUAAAGUGACUUAUCUCCUUACAGAAAUGGUUUCUGGAGGUCAAUUUUAGAAGAGCAGAAAACUCAUAAUGAAAAGGAAGAGAUAUGUGAAAUAUAUAUAUACAAUAAUUACAAAGUAAUGGGGUGGGGCUAGCAUCUGGGAAGCCAAGCUUCAAGCAGUAGGAGACUUUGGGGAUGAGUUUUUAAGGAAACUAAGAAUUCUAAGGGUCAAGCUAAAGAGGCAAUCCUUUCUAGACAUGUGGAAAGCCUGUGCAAAGACAUCAAGAAGGAAUUUUAUAUGAGGAAGAGCAAAUGGGCAACUUCAACUGAACUAUAGAGUACCUUAGAUAAAGAAAUGUAAAACAAACCUAAAAAAAUUAGGCAGAUCCUGAUCACGAGGGACUUUUAAUACCAAAUGGAGAAAUUUAUAUUUUAUCCUAGCCAUAAAUAAUGUCACUGGAGAUUUUAGAGCAAGGAAGUGUCAUGGUCAGACACACCUGUGCUUUAGGAAUAUCAAUUCAGAUACAGGGAGGCCAAUUAGGAAGUUAUUGUAAUAGUCUAGACACAAAAUGAUGAGGAUAUAAAGUAGACUGCUGGCCAUGUGAGUGGUGAAAAAGGGGUUGUUGCAAAAGAUAUAACGGAACCAAUAAAACAUCACUGCUACUUUCUCA